UCCAGUGUGGUGUAGUGGUUUGAAUGCUGGACUACAACUCUGGAGACCAGGGUUUGAAUUCCACCUCUGCCA